CCCUUAGAUGUUCUGGGCCGCACGCGCGCUACAAUGGUCUUCGCAAACGGAUGCAUUCUCGAAGGAGAAUGCCAAUCUUGGAAUCUAUGCCUUGGUCGGGACAGUUGCUUGCAAUUUUUCGACUCGAACCAGGAAUUCCUUGUAAUCGUGAUUCAUCACAUCACGAUGAAUACGUCCCUGCCCUUUGUACACACCGCCCGUCGCUCCUACCGAUCGAAGAGUUAGGUGAAUUGUUUUGAUCGAUAAGAUUUGACUAUGGUCAACUCUCGUUGUGAAAUUCUGUGAAUCUGACUGUUUAGAGGAAGGAAAAGGCGUAACA
rnacentral:rRNA from 1 species